rnacentral:rRNA from 1 species
AUGGACAUCCUCAACGGAUGGAUGGGCGGGAGGAUGCUGAUCAGAGUUCGUCGUCUCCCAUCGAUGGCUGAGGCUGGAAGGCUGUACACCUACAUCAAUACUCUGGGCGGUUUGGUCGCGGUGGUGAACAUCGAGGUGCUCAAGAUGGUCUCUGAUCUUGAGGGCCUUAUUGAGUUCAAGGUUAUAAAGUCAACUAUACCAACCUUGAGGGAGCACCCACAGCAAGCCGCGGCAAGAGGCUAUCUGGCCAAGCAGGGUCGCCAGCUUGUUGGGUGGGGCAUCCAGAUCGGGGGAGAGUUCAGGGCCCGUGCCGAAGCAGUCGGCAACGCCAUGCAGGUGCACUCGCAACUCGUCAACGAGCCGCCCUACUCUGCCGCCCUCAACAACCUGCGCAAGACCAUUAACACUCUGCUAAACAGUCUAGUCACUUUGGCCUAG